UGAUGCUCUUCCGAUCUGGGGGCGCGAGCACGUGAGAUGUUCAGGACAAUGACAAUAUUCUGUACGACGCAGAAAUGAUGAAGACAUGUGUUUUCAUAUUAGCUGAAGACCUGACAUUGUGUAAGAGUCAACCCUACUGUAAACUACUCCAAAGUUGGCUCAUCAAAAUAACAAAUGCACCAGAGUAAUAGGAGGUAAAAACAUAUAGGACAGGGGCGCCUGGCUGGCUUGGCUGGAGAAGUGUGCAACUCUUGAUCUCAGGGUCGUGAGUUCGAGCCCCUCGUUGGGCGU